UACGUAGGGUGCGAGCGUUGUCCGGAAUUAUUGGGCGUAAAGGGCUCGUAGGCGGUUUGUCGCGUCAGGAGUGAAAACUCGGGGCUUAACCCCGAGCCUGCUUCCGAUACGGGCAGACUAGAGGUAUGCAGGGGAGAACGGAAUUCCUGGUGUAGCGGUGAAAUGCGCAGAUAUCAGGAGGAACACCGGUGGCGAAGGCGGUUCUCUGGGCAUUACCUGACGCUGAGGAGCGAAAGUGUGGGGAGCGAACAGG
rnacentral:rRNA from 1 species